UUCAUAGUAAUACGUGUUUUAUUUUAAUAACAUAAAAAUUCAGUUACAAGCCAUGUAAACAUCAAUAUCACCUAAUUGGUAAGAUAGGAUAAUCCUUAGAAAAAACCAAAGCAAGUCCCUCUGCACUAAGAAAAAGAGAAAUCGCCCACUCGAGCUUGACACGGCUCAUCAUUGAUCAGCAGCUUUACCAGCGCAGGUCCCUCUUCAUUAAGGAAAAGAACAGAUCACCUUUUCAUCCGAGCUCGACGCGGCUCCAUUGCUGAUCAACAAUUUUACUAGCACAGGUCCUCUUCACUAAGAAGAAGAAAACAAUUUUACUAGCGCAAGUCUCUCUCCACUAAAAAAAACAGAUCACCGCUUUACCAGCACAUGUCCCUCUCCACUAAAAAGAAAAAGACACUUCACCAGGGCAGGUCCCUCUCCAUUAAGAAGGAGAAGACAGAUCACCUUCUCACUCGAGCUUGACGCGGUUCCAUCAUUGAUCUUCUCACUCGAGCUCGACGCGGUUCCAUCAUUGAUCAGCAGCUUUACCAGGGCAGUUCCGUGGAGAGGGAUCACCUCUUCACCCUCUCCACGGAGAAGGAGAGGGAUCACCUCUUCACCCGAGGUGAGCUCGUAGCGGCUUCAUCGUUGAUGAGCAACUUUACGGACCUUUAAGUAGUUUGCAAAACCAUUGCGGCGAUGAACGGCUCCUUUAUUUAUACGCAGGCAUAAUGCACAAGCUCUUCUAUACACCGGCUACAGCAAGACACAGUGGCAUUGUGGCAACGACGGACCCAACAAAACUACGUAGAGACUACAGUAGACUGAACAGAGCCACACAACUAGGAUGGCCACCAUUAUUCGUACAGCGGUACGCGGGGAAAGGGUGGAGCAGAGAGCGUGCAAGGUGACUGGAACAGUUCUUGUUCAG
rnacentral:lncRNA from 1 species